rnacentral:rRNA from 1 species
AACGUAGGUACCGAGCGUUAUCCGGAUUUACUGGGCGUAAAGCGUGUUCAGGCGGCCUAGCAAGUCGGGCAUGAAAUCUCUCGGCUCAACCGGGAGAGGCUGUCCGAUACUGCUGGGCUUGAGGACGGUAGAGGGUGGUGGAAUUCCGCGUGUAGUGGUGAAAUGCGUAGAUAUGCGGAGGAACACCAGUGGCGAAGGCGGCCACCUGGACCGUCCCUGACGCUAAAACACGAAAGCUAGGGUAGCGAACGGG